AGUGGUUAGUGAUUGGCCAUCUUCCUGAAGGCUCUGCAGUCACUCGGGUGAAUGAAGGAGUUGUCUCAGACAGCGAGUUCCAGGACCUUGAUUAAACUAAUUGAUGCCAAGUAAUCGGGAGCACACAGCGGCAACAUUAAACAUAGAGGAUUGACGUUUGGGAGUCAAUUAAAGAAAAUUCACUGAGAGUAACAUUUUGAAGAAGACAGCAGAAUGCAAUCCUAAUUUUCCGCAGAGAUCUUUGAUCAGUGGUGAAACCUAUUUUUGCUACGAAUAAGUGACCAAACAAUGAAACUAAAUCCAGGAUGCAACAGCAAAGAGGUUGAGCGGAUGACCUACCAAAAGAUGUCUGCUAACUCCACUCCAUAACCAGGUGCACCAGAGCAAACCAGGUUGACUUACCCUCAAUUAUCCCACUCUGCAGGAGAAGGGCCUUAGCUCAGCUUGAUGCUUUCUGCUGAUGACCCAGCUCAGAUUGAGCAUCUCAACACGAAGGGAAAUUGGAGGUGUGAAUCAAUGUCCUGCCAUUCUGUGCCACGAUGCUGUCACCGUUCGAUGAAGUUGCAGCUGAAUUCACUGGGAUUGUUGGAAGGAACAUCUUAAUAUGUCUAAGCUUUUAUGGGCAGCUCACAAACACAGAAAGACUUCAAAGAAACAGGCAGGCUGGGUGACAUUUCAGAGCUGAUGAUGGAAAACAAGAAGGGACAA